UGGGUCGGGUUAUUUAGCCAACCAAAAUGGCAGUACAGGCUCCGACCGAGGACUGAGGAAGCUUAGGAUGACUAAUAAGAAUGGUUGCGGCGAGUGUUUUGUUGUGGAAGUAUUAGAAGAAUGUGUAAGAAACAUACGGUGUUCAUGAUGCAACUUCCUGGAUGGUGUGUAAACUGUUUAUCAGCAAGUGAAAUCCACAUGAUCGAAGGAGAAGUCUCCCUUGUUAAAGAUCAGCAACGGCAGAUAAACAAUGCAUGAUGCAAUCUGCUCACUAAAAAGAUUACACCAAUACAUCCCAUGCAUAUAUUUCUACCUAUCACCUAUGUAACCUUUGUCAUGCUCUUCAGAGAGUCAUCGACAGGAAAAGGAAUUACCGAUAAGUUGACAGGACUUUCCACACUGUUUCUAGUAGCAGCUUUGAUUGAAUUGAUGGUAGAAGACAUGGCCCACUUAAUCAAAGAUAAUCCGUAUAGAGUGGCACCUUAACCAACACUGGUGAAAUAGAAGAUGACUAGUGGAUGGUCAUCACUUUGCAGCUCACUUUUACUUUCUGCAGCCCAUCUCUUCUCAUCCACAAUCAUUGUCUUUGGAGGAAUGGUGACAGUGCAGUCCUCAUGGCUGGGCAGGUCUACUACAUGUUGACAGCUGAUACUUGUUCUCUAUUUGCUCCGAGAGGUCUACUACACAUUACCGCAGUUAUGACUGUACUCGUGCUGGCUUCUAUGAUGUUAAUUUCCUUUACCUGCACUGCGUUAAACUUGGUCAAUUCUGUUACUGUCACUCACCAACAGAUUAAAAUAAGAUUUAGCUGAUCCUGCCAACAUUGUGACAUAAGCGGUCCAAUGUCCAAUAUCUCACUCUGCAGUCAAACAUCAUUUUUUUUAUGAACGCUCAGUAAAACAUUGGAAAUGUUAGACUUUUUUAGUAUUGAUUUAUAUAGUUAUAUAUUUUUAAAGUAAUAACAAUUCUUUUUAUUGAUGUAUGUUUAAGUAUGCAAAAAUGAACAUUGAUGAUAUUAAAGGUGAGGUAUUUAUUUGUGAUUUAUCUUCUGAAUAAAAUUUUAUAUCGAUAA